rnacentral:rRNA from 1 species
GACGUAGGGCGCGAGCGUUGUCCGGAUUUAUUGGGCGUAAAGAGCUCGUAGGCGGCUUGUUGCGUCGACUGUGAAAACCCGCGGCUUAACCGCGGGCUUGCAGUUGAUACGGGCAGGCUAGAGUUCGGUAGGGGAGACUGGAAUUCCUGGUGUAGCGGUGAAAUGCGCAGAUAUCAGGAGGAACACCGAUGGCGAAGGCGGGUCUCUGGGCAGUAACUGACGCUGAGGAGCGAAAGCGUGGGGAGCGAACAGG